rnacentral:rRNA from 1 species
GACGUAGGAUGCAAGCGUUGUCCGGAAUUAUUGGGCGUAAAGAGUUCGUAGGCGGUUGCCUAAGUCUGAUGUUAAAGGCCUGAGCUCAACUCGGGUAUGGCAUUGGAAACUGGGUGGCUAGAGUGUGGUAGAGGUAUCGGGAAUUCCUGGUGUAGCGGUGAAAUGCGUAGAUAUCUGGAGGAAUACCGGUGGCGAAGGCGGCAUCCUGGACCGACAUUGACGCUGAGGAGCGAAAGCUAGGGGAGCAAACGGG